rnacentral:rRNA from 1 species
ACGCUAGCGGCAGGCCUAACACAUGCAAGUCGAGGGGCAUCGGGAUUGAAGCUUGCUUCAAUUGCCGGCGACCGGCGCACGGGUGCGUAACGCGUAUGUAACCUACCUAUAACAGGGGCAUAACACUGAGAAAUUGGUACUAAUUCCCCAUAAUAUUCGGAGAGGCAUCUCUCCGGGUUGAAAACUCCGGUGGUUAUAGAUGGACAUGCGUUGUAUUAGCUAGUUGGUGAGGUAACGGCUCACCAAGGCAACGAUACAUAGGGGGACUGAGAGGUUAACCCCCCACACUGGUACUGAGACACGGACCAGACUCCUACGGGAGGCAGCAGUGAGGAAUAUUGGUCAAUGGACGCAAGUCUGAACCAGCCAUGCCGCGUGCAGGAAGACGGCUCUAUGAGUUGUAAACUGCUUUUGUACGAGGGUAAACUCACCUACGUGUAGGUGACUGAAAGUAUCGUACGAAUAAGGAUCGGCUAACUCCGUGCCAGCAGCCGCGGUAAUACGGAGGAUUCAAGCGUUAUCCGGAUUUAUUGGGUUUAAAGGGUGCGUAGGCGGUUUGAUAAGUUAGAGGUGAAAUCCCGGGGCUUAACUCCGGAACUGCCUCUAAUACUGUUAGACUAGAGAGUAGUUGCGGUAGGCGGAAUGUAUGGUGUAGCGGUGAAAUGCUUAGAGAUCAUACAGAACACCGAUUGCGAAGGCAGCUUACCAAACUAUAUCUGACGUUGAGGCACGAAAGCGUGGGGAGCAAACAGGAUUAGAUACCCUGGUAGUCCACGCAGUAAACGAUGAUAACUCGUUGUCGGCGAUACACAGUCGGUGACUAAGCGAAAGCGAUAAGUUAUCCACCUGGGGAGUACGUUCGCAAGAAUGAAACUCAAAGGAAUUGACGGG